UUGAAGAGCUUGCUUUUUAAGCUUAGUGGCGAACGGGUGAGUAACGCGUGAGUAACCUGCCCUGGAGUGGGGGACAACAGUUGGAAACGACUGCUAAUACCGCAUAAUGUAUUCUGACCGCAUGAUCGGAAUACCAAAGAUUUAUCGGAUAUGGAUGGGCUCGCGUACCAUUAGAUAGUUGGCAGUGUAACGGACUACCAAGUCGACGAUGGUUAGCCGAUCUGAGAGGAUGACCGGCCACAUUGGAACUGAGAAACGGUCCAGACUCC
rnacentral:rRNA from 1 species